rnacentral:miRNA from 1 species
UUAAUGCUGACGGAUUGCUCUUU